CUCGUGCUGAAAAUGAAACUGAAACUGACUUUGAAGGCUUUCGAGUGUUACAGAAUUUUAAAAAAAGUAUUGGGUCACAGCAGCAAAUGGAAACGAGAGCAUUCAGCAACUUGGUUGAGUAGCAGGAUUUGUGUUGAAUCAGAACGAGUGGCUUGAAGACUGUGGCUACAUUUCUUUCUUGAUAGCCCUAGAGCUAUGAUCUUGUCAAGGCUUGUAAGGCUGGAAAAUGAAUGCAAUCUACUUUGUAGUGGUAGAGAAAUCUCCUAGGAACAUUAGCUGAUGCUAGCAGUACUGAUGGCAAGUAUGAACCUGAACUGAUACUUUUCAAAGAGGUAACUGAACCAACACAAAGGCAGGUGCAAAAGAUUACAGUAUAAGAAAAAGUGCUACCUUUAAGAUUACG
rnacentral:lncRNA from 11 species